CCUACGGGAGGCAGCAGUGGGGAAUAUUGCACAAUGGGGGAAACCCUGAUGCAGCGACGCCGCGUGAGUGAAGAAGUAUUUCGGUAUGUAAAGCUCUAUCCUCAGGGAAGAAAUACUUACCUUUCGCUCAGCAGUCGGUCCCUGACUAAUACGCCCCGGCUAACUACGUCCCAGCAGCCGCGGUAAUACGUAGGGGGCAAGCGUUAUCCGGAUUUACUGGGUGUAAAGGGAGCGUAGACGUCAGCGCAAGUCUGAAGUGAAAUCGCAUGGCUUAACCAUGGGACUGCUUUGGAAACUGUGUAGCUGGAGUGCAGGAGAGGUAAGCGGAAUUCCGAGUGUAGCGGUGAAAUGCGUAGAUAUACGGAGGAACACCAGUGGCGAAGGCGGAUUACUGGACUGUAACUGACGUUGAGGCGCGAAAGCGUGGGGAGCAAACAGGAUUAGAUACCCUUGUAGUC
rnacentral:rRNA from 1 species